GGUUUGGAAUGUCCUGAUGCCAACACUUGGUCUGGGAUCAGAAGUUGGACCAGAAGAAUUAUGGCUUGAACAUGGUGUAGACAGCUAGAAGCUCCUGUUGAGGGGAUGGUCUCCUGCUGGUGGAGUUUAUCAUUGAAAGUCACUGAUUCACAAAAUCCUGAUAUAAUCCAUGAUGUAACCCACUGAUGACAAUCCAUGGAAAAGUGAAGCCAUUCUCAAAUGAUGUGCAAAGGAGUGUACCCAACUGUGGGGACAAUCAUAUCCAUGAGGCCAUUUGCUCUGAUUGCUUUCACCUGGUGUCUUUGAGGUCUACCCGUGCUGUUGCAGGCAUGAUUAAGGGACAUUUGGUUGCUUCCACAUGGUAGCUUUGUGAAGAAUGUUGUCAUCAGGGAAGACAAAAAGAAGCUGGGCAUGAUGGCCAAGUGUUAGAGGGUUACACUACUGCCUUCUGCUUCUGAUCUGAUUGAGUCACAGCUGAGAUGUGGCACCAGGACUCUUGGCUACACUCAGUUCUCUCAGUUUGACUGAGUACUCUGGGCUCACAGAUGUGACUACAUGAUGUAGCCCAGAGGUCUGAACUCAAAGCUGUUUCUUCUACCUGCCUACCUUAUCUUGCUGCUGGCAAAUGCAUCUCCUCUGCUCCACCCAUC
rnacentral:lncRNA from 1 species